UCCGGAGGGUGCAAUCGUUGUUUGGAAUUACUGGGCGUAAAGGGCGUGUAGGCGGCUUGGCAAGUCAGAUGUGAAAGCCCUGGGCUUAACCCAGGAAGUGCAUUUGAAACUGCCAGGCUAGAGUAUGGGAGAGGAGAGUGGAAUUCCCAGUGUAGAGGUGAAAUUCGUAGAUAUUGGGAGGAACACCGGUGGCGAAGGCGACUCUCUGGACCAAUACUGACGCUGAGACGCGAAAGCGUGGGGAGCAAACAGG
rnacentral:rRNA from 1 species